rnacentral:tRNA from 1 species
GUGGUGGCUCAGUGGUAAAACACUUGCCUCACAUGUAUGAGGCACUGGGUUCAAUUCUCAGCACCACA